rnacentral:rRNA from 1 species
UGGAAGUAAAAGUCGUAACAAGGUUUCCGUAGGUGAACCUGCGGAAGGAUCAUUACAGAGAACUUGCCCCUCCCGGGGGGUAGAUCUCCCACCCUCUGCCUACCAUACCUUUGUUGCUUUGGCAGGCCCGUCCCCCGGGACCGCCGGCUCCAGCUGGCCCGUGCCUGCCGGAGGACCCCCAAACUCUGGUUUUACGUGUUGUCCGAGUACCGUAUGACAUUAUGUUAAAACUUUCAACAACGGAUCUCUUGGUUCUGGCAUCGAUGAAGAACGCAGCGAAAUGCGAUAAGUAAUGUGAAUUGCAGAAUUCAGUGAAUCAUCGAAUCUUUGAACGCACAUUGCGCCCCCUGGUAUUCCGGGGGGCAUGCCUGUUCGAGCGUCAUUACAGCCCUCAAGCUCCGCUUGGUGUUGGGCGGCACCGCCUCGGUGCGCCUCAAAAUCAGUGGCAAUGCCACCCGGCUUCGAGCGCAGUAGUUCACCUCGCUCCGGAGGACCGGGUGCGUGAUUGCCAGCAAGCAAGCACACCCAUCCAAAGGUUGACCUCGGAUCAGGUAGGGAUACCCGCUGAACUUAAGCAUAUCAAUAAGCGGAGGA